rnacentral:rRNA from 1 species
GACGAACGCUGGCGGCGUGCCUAAUACAUGCAAGUAGGACGCAGUUGCGAACGGGUGAGUAAAGCGUAGGUAACUGCCUAUUAGAGGGGGAUAACUAUUGGAAACGAUAGCUAAUACCGCAUACUCGUAGAUGGACCUGCGUUGUAUUAGCUAGUAGGUAGGGUAAUGGCCUACCUAGGCGACGAUACAUCGCCGACCUGGGAAGGGGAUCGGGCAAAACUGGACUGAGAACAGGGCCAGACCCCCACGGGAGGCAGCAGUAGGGAAGCUUCGGGAAUGGGGGGAAACUUGACCGGGCAAAGCCGGGGGAGUGAAGAAGGUUUUCGGAUCGUAAAGCUCUGUUGUUAAGGAAGCGGUACUUAACCAGAAAGGGACGGCUAACUACGUGCCAGCAGCCGCGGUAAUAC